rnacentral:lncRNA from 1 species
CGACGGCCUCAUCACCUCCCGCGCGGGCCUCACUUUCACCCUCGCGCCCUCACACUACGAGCGCGGCAAACUCGAGGUCAAGUGCAAGGCCGCGCUGGAGAACGUGACGAUGUUCUCUGACUCCUUCGUGCUGGUAAAUCCUAACUACGACGCCUCCACGUCCUCCACUGCUCCUGAUCUUGGUAUAGUGGAGUCGAAGCUGCUGGUGCUGAAGCUCAGCAUACAGAUCCUCAUCAUGAUCAUCGUAGGUCUUCUCUUCUAAACCAAGGAUCUAGACCCUGACCUAGACCGUGAUCUAGACCCUGACCUAGACCCUGAUCUAGACCAUGACCUAGACCUUGACCUAGAUUCUGAUCUAGCCCAUGAUCUAGACCGUGAUCUAGACCCUGAUCUAGACCGUGAUCUAGACCCUGACCUUGACAUAGAUUCUGACCUAGACCCUGAUCUAGACCUUGAUCUAGAUUCUGAUCUAGACCCUGACCUAGCCGUGACCAAUGAUCUUUGGAUGCGAUCUUUUGUCCCUGGAUUUGUCCCUGGAUCUGCCACUGGAUCACCACUGGAUCAGCAGCAAGCUUCGAUAAACUUGGACUGCGGAUCUGCACAAGCCUUAGAUCAGAUAAACGAGUUAAUUACGUGGGCUUCACACGCAUGAGAAAUUUAGAAAAUUUUUUUGUCUAACAAUCAUAACUGGAAAAUUACUAACAGAAAUGGUAAAAAAUAUCAAGUUUAUUUGAGAAAAAAUCG